GACGUAGGUGGCGAACGUUAUCCGGAAUCAUUGGGCGUAAAGGGUGCGUAGAUGGCAUAAUAAGUUAUUAGUGGGAAAUCGAGGCUCAACCUCGUGGAAGCUAGUAAUACUGUUUUGCUGGAGUGCAGAAGAGGUUAACGGAACUCCAUGUGGAGCGGUAAAAUGCGUAGAUAUAUGGAAGAACAUCAAUAACGGCGAAGGCAGUUAACUAUUCUGUUACUGACAUUGAGGCACGAAAGCGUGGGGAGCAAAACGG
rnacentral:rRNA from 1 species